AGCACUGUGUGGUAUCUGCAGCCAGCUGUCUGAUCAGCCGGUUUGUUCAAAAGUCAGUGCGAGACAAACUUCAACAUCUGGCAUCGUUGGUCUCCGAGCUAAACGUGCUCCGAGUCCUGGUAUUUUUGUUGAGACAUGA